rnacentral:rRNA from 1 species
CGUAGGCAGCGAGCGUUGUUCGGAGUUACUGGGCGUAAAGGGUGUGUAGGUCGGUUUUUUAAGUUUGGUGUGGAAUCUCCCGGCUCAACCGGGAGGGUGCGCCGAAUACUGAGGGACUAGAGUGCGGGAGAGGAAAGUGGAAUUCCUGGUGUAGCGGUGAAAUGCGUAGAUAUCAGGAGGAGCACCGGUGGUGUAGACGGCUUUCUGGACCGUAACUGACGCUGAGACACGAAAGCGUGGGUAGCAAACAGGAUUAGAUACCCUGGUAGUCCACGCCCUAAACGAUGCAUAUUUGGUGUGGGUCAUUCAGUUGAUCCGUGCCGGAGCUAACGCGUUAAAUAUGCCGCCUGGGGAGUACAGUCGCAAGGCUG